UACGUAGGGGGGCUAGCGUUGUCCGGAUUUAUUGGGCGUAAAGAGCGUGUAGGCGGCCAGGUAGGUCCGGUGUGAAAACUCGAGGCUUAACCUCGAGAUGUCAUCGGAAACCAUCUGGCUAGAGUCCGGAAGAGGAAAGUGGAAUUCCUGGUGUAGCGGUGAAAUGCGCAGAUAUCAGGAGGAACACCGGUGGCGAAGGCGGCAUCCUGGACCGAGACUGACACUGAGGAGCGAAAGCCAGGGGAGCAAACGGG
rnacentral:rRNA from 1 species